rfam:Myotis lucifugus cont2.56517, whole genome shotgun sequence.
GGCAGUUCUCAAGUGAUGUCCCAAGAAUUGGGCUCCCUCCUCCCUUGUUCCGGGUGCAUCACCCUAGAACAACA